UUCAGUGAUGGCGCUGCUCACGGUCAAUGUGGAAGAUGUGAGAGGAGCUUUGAGUAAUCAUCUGUCAAAGUUGGGAUUUGAAGUUUAUCCGCUGAAGAUUGGCUGGUACAAUGCUGUCCUGUCCCCCCCUCUCCACCUGUCCUACCCUGAUGACACCCUGGGAGCAGUGGUGCUCAGCACACCAUCCAUGUUUGAACAGGCCUUCCUACCCUUCAUGGAGAGCAGCGGCUGGAAGGGGGUGUCUACAGACCCCAUAGACCAGUGUAUGAAAUACUGCAUCAACAACACAGUCUCUGAGUGUUUUCCAGGUGUGAAGGUAGAUGUGAGUUAUGACUAUGAGAUGCUGCCCAGCAGGAAGCCCAAGUUCCUGGCCCAGAGCGCCGCCCAUGUGGCUGGAGCAGUGUACUACUACCAACGCUCCGAUGUACCUGACCACCCCUGGGGGGACAAGAAGAUGUUUGGUGUGUGUAUACACCCGCGGCUGGGGGGUUGGUUUGCUAUCAGAGCUCUGUUAGUGUUUGUUGGGUCUGAGGUGGGUUCUGAGCUGCAGCAGACAGCUCCUCCAGACUGUGUUCCUACCAGGGAGGAUAGGAUACAGCUACUGGAGGACUUCAACCUCCGAUGGCAGGACUGGAGUUACAGAGAUAUCGUCCCCCCAGUCCAAACCUACUCCCAGAAACAGAGAGAAUACUUCUCCACCCCCCCAGCCCAGCGCCAAGACCUGCUCACAGACUGGGGCUAUCUGACAGGGGGAGAAGAGGACAGCUCACAGGAGAACUGACACAGAUGAUAACCGUGAGAGGAGACGCUACAGUUAGACUUUGCUGGGUCUGAGGAACCCAAACCCCUCUGGAUGGAGGAGGAAAAGAGGAAAAAGGAGAAGAAAAGGUGCUGUGGCUGGUUGUGCAGACUGUUUGGCCAUAAGAAGAAAACAGGAAACGACUACUGGCCAAAAGAGAUGCGCAGGCGCAUAAUUGUGUCUGUUAUAGUCUAGGAUGUUUCUAAAAUGUUAUAGUCUAGGAUGACAUUCAGACAAACCGAACUUAUUGACACACACACAUUUACAACAUAGCCUACACCUCAGACCACAAACACAAGACAUGUAAACUUUCUAAUAACAUGACUUCUUUCAAUUGAAUAAAUGUAAUUAUAGCCCCUAGGCUACCACAGACUAUGUUUUGACAAUUUCUCUGUUGACCUGCAUUUUACUUAUUGUAAACUUUUAAAUAUUUGUUAAAGUCUGCACUGACGCAUUCAGAAA